UUUUUUUUUUUUUUUUUUUUGGGGGUUUUUUUUAGAUAUUAUUCUAUCAAGGGAGUGCUGGAGUCUUGCUACUGUAUGUGCUCAUUGUGCAGAACUUGUCAAGUUGUUUCCUUCAGUACCACAAUAGUGACUUUGUAGCUGCAGUUGGUUCUUGGGCAUUCCAGUCCCACCCCUGCUGACAGAUGUGGCUGUUCCUGCUGGAUGUGCACUUGCUUGGAAAAGUUAUUUCCACAGAAACAGGACAGCUGCUGCCAUGCAGUUCUGUUAGUGUAGCUGCAGCUUUUCCCUUUCCAAGGGGAUAUUCAUCCCAUUCCAGCUAAAUCCUGGCUCCUGCUGGGAUGUGGCUCUUCACUUUGAUUUCAUUUUGAUACCUGUUGUUCUGUCCUUCGUUUUGGAGCAGUAUCUUUCUCUUUUUGUUGUAAUGGAAACCUGGAGCUGUCUAAUCCCACUUGCAGUCCCAGGGGAAUGUUUCUGAGCACAGACAGGGGCUGGCUGUUGGCAGAGAGGUGUGAGGGUGUUUUGAGAGCAGAUCCCAAAUGGUACAGUGAACAAAUCCUUACACCUGACACCGAGUGGGACCCUCUCUGCUGAGGAGCCCUGACUGAAGCAACUGCUGUUGUACAUCCCCAAGGUUUCAUUUCUGUGUGGUUCCUGCUCUGAGGCUGUGGACACUUGAUAAAGCAAGUUCAGGAGCCUUCAGUGGUGUGUAAGAAGCUUUUUUUUAAGGUGUCAGAAGGAGGGUAUGGUGAGAGCACACCCACGCUCUGUCACGGUGCCUCAUUUGAUGGGACACACGUGGGGAGCUGCAGCCACUUAGUGGCAUUUGGCCAUGGGGCCAUGCCUCAGUUAAAUCCUCCUUUCUGAGGUGCCUGCUGCUGGCAGGUUUUAGGACAGGUGCUUUAAGAUCAGUCUUGACUGUAUAUAAGCAUUUUUUUUCACUGGUAAGAAGCUGCUUUUUGGUUCGUCCCGUGCUCUGUGGGUAGCGUGAACGCCCGAGAUGAAGGCCAAGAGAGAACAUCUUUCUCAGGAUACACAACACAGUUCCAUGUCCAUUUGUCACCCUGAAAAACGACUCUUCAGACAUUUUGGGUGUUGUUCAUCCUGAUAGAUUUUUCGCUUCUUUCCCUGUUCCAGGUCUGUGUGCAAACACAUCCCUUUGUCAGAGCCAGAGUAACGAUUCCAGCCAAAGCUCCAAACGUCUGUGUUAGCUGGAGACUUGAGUCUCUCCUUCAAAAGGGAACCAGGCAUUUGGGAAACUCUGUGUCACUCAGACUAGGUACUCCCCUUACUGGCCUUCUAAACUAGUUUUCUUUACAAAAGCCUCCCAAAAAGCUGCCUAAUGUCUCUGAAAGCAGUGCUUUCAUCAUCAUCCAUCCCAUGGGCUGGCAUGGAUUGCCACGUGGCUGAUGGCUUCUCCAAAAGAGUGGCACUACCUAGAGCUUGACUGUGCAAACAGUACCUUUCUUUUCCUUUCCUCCUCCCAGUUCCACAGCAAAGAUGCUUACCCUAACCUGGUAACCUAUUCUGAAAGAUUGACAUUGAAAGCAAUGAAGUAAAUCAGGGUAAAAUAAUGGUGUAAUUCUGCUAUGUCUCCAGGAGACACUGUUAAGGAGUCUGUGACUUUACUGACAAUCACUAGUGGUUCUACUUUUAAAUUAAUUUAAAACUUUUCUGGUCUCUUAUAUAUAUUGAUUUUUCUGGCCCGCUCUGUCUUAAGGCAGAACUUGGAGGGCUGGGGGAAAAGACUCUCAUUUUAAUAUUUCCAAAAGGGAUUAAAGCUGGGGGCUGAGCUUUCACCCGUGGAAGAAACGUGUUUUAUUUCCUUAUGUCUUUCCAAGAGUUGCAGUUUACACACCUGCUGGGUUGUUUUUUGUUUGUUUUUAUUUUUUUUGUUUGUUUUUUUGGUCUUGUUGUUAAUGCUGUUGGCAGAAACUGUUCUGUGUCUUGCUGGUCUUUGCUGCUAUGUUGAAAUGACUGUGUUAUAAACUUGUGUGUUCGUGGGUCACUCUGGAAUGAGGCUGCAAAUCCAUAACCCAGGUGUGGGAAAGCAUUAGUCUGCUGAGGAAUUCAGGCUGAAGCAGCUUCACCCACAACAGGCAUCCACUGCUCUGGGUGUGCUGGGUGCUGGUCCUUGAGGAACCUGCUGUUUGCAGGGAGAGCAGGAGGGUGGAGAUGCCCCUGUGUGGACAGUGCAAUACGUGAUGGCCACUGUGUGUAAAACAAACCCCUGAUCCCCCCCCGUGGUGUCCAGUGGAGAGGGUGGAGUGAGUGGAAGGUCAGGCCUGAAUCUUUGCUAGAUCCCAAUUUUCACAAGAGACAGGAGAUUUCCCAGAUCCCAUCCUUGGCUUUCAGUGCAUGCUCACGUGUCUUUCCACCAAGGGGGGCCUCGGGACCUGCCUGUGCCAGUGUCUCCUGUUGGGCACAGCAUUCCCUGCUGUGCCAGGUGGAAGGAAGUUUGCAGGCUGGAGUGCUGCAGAUCCAUCUGUUUUCUCUCACCAGGGCCUCAAAUUUAUCCCUGAUUUAAUGUCAGUGACUGAGCUCCAGCUCCAGCGAGGGGUUUGCUGUGCAGGGCAUUGAAACAACCUCAAAUCAGGAGCCUUCAGUGGCUGACAUUUUUAUUCUGGAAGUGAGACCCUCGACUGAGCUUAAGGCUCACCCGUCCCUGCCAACAGAUUUAACAGCAGGUUUGUCUGGAGGAUCGUGGAAAAUGAUGAGGAAACAGUUUGGGAUGACACCUCCUCCCCAAAGGAGGCAGGAUCUGUAGGGGGAGUGUAUCCACCUGGUAUAUUAACUCUGAGGAGUUUUUGGCAAAUAAGUCUUAAAAGCACUGCUAUUGUCUUUUACCUCCUAUUAAUAAAUCUCCCUUUUCCAAGGUAACAGUCCCCUGGACACUUUAUCCAAAGGUUUAUUGGAUGGCAAGCAAUGAUGCACAGACAUUGACUUUUGCUAUUAUUUUUGUUCUCUUCAAGUGGGCAGUCCCCUCCUGAGACUUGACAGCUCAUGAGUUGAUGUAAUUGUUUUUGUUUUUUGCAUUUAACUGGAUUGUAAUAAGAUUGACUUAAAAUUAUUAAUUCUAAUCAGUGAUUAGAAAUACAUGUAAAGAAUUUUAUGUACAGUAGAGGAACAAAGUUACAUGAUUUUAAAUAAUGAAAAUCCAGACUAUCACCUAUCCUAGAAUUGGUUCUACUCAAAGAGUGACCUCUUAUUAGCAUGGACUGCACUGUUCCUGUUAAAUGUCUAUUGCAUAAUUGAAUUCUUUUUUGUAGAUAUUGUAUUAAAACCCAAGUGUCUGUAUAGUUAAUAUAUAGCUGCUUAUGUGUAAAUGCUAUUUUAAACACUAAAAAGCUUUUAAUUUUAUGUGAUAACCUCGGUGUACGUCUUCAGUUCUUUGCACUGUUGCAUUUUACCUUUUAGUCAAGAUUGAUGAAAUGCUGGUUGAAUCUUCCUCUUAUUUUUUGUCCCCCAAGUUUUGUCCUCUCAAGAAGAUUCAGGAGGUGCUGAUAGGCAGGGGGGAGUUUUGUGAGGGCUCCAGAGAGCUGGAGGAAAAACCCCUGUUUUCCCAGACAUGAGCUGGAACAAGUUGUCCUGCCUGCAGCCCCAGGACUUGAAUGUGCUGCUAAAACCCAUCAGUGUAUUCAGCUGUUCCAUGGGAAUAUUCCCCAUUUCUGGACUCUCCAAGGUAGGAUCAUUAGGACACCACUUUAUUCUCUGGUGAACAUUGAAUGAUCAGAAUUUUGGACAUGCUCUUGCAGCCUUUCACUGCAGGGCCUGAUGGGCCCCAGCUGACCCAGGCUACUUAAGGCUUCUCUGCUAUGGAAUCACAGCCCUGGAGCAAGGAAUACUGAGA